GACAGAGGGUGCGAACGUUGCUCGGAAUCACUGGGCGUAAAGCGCACGUAGGCGGAUUGCUAAGUCAGGGGUGAAAUCCUGGAGCUCAACUCCAGAACUGCCUUUGAUACUGGCGAUCUCGAGUCCGGGAGAGGUGAGUGGAACUGCGAGUGUAGAGGUGAAAUUCGUAGAUAUUCGCAAGAACACCAGUGGCGAAGGCGGCUCACUGGCCCGGUACUGACGCUGAGGUGCGAAAGCGUGGGGAGCAAACAGG
rnacentral:rRNA from 1 species